AACGAACGCUGGCGGCAGGCUUAACACAUGCAAGUCGAACGGUUGUAGCAAUACAGCAGUGGCAGACGGGUGAGUAACACGUGGGAACCUUCCUAGGGGUACGGAACAACUCAGGGAAACUUGAGCUAAUACCGUAUACGUCCGUGAGGAGAAAGAUUUAUCGCCCUUAGACGGGCCCGCGCCGGAUUAGCUAGUUGGUGGGGUAACGGCCUAACAAGGCGACGAUCCGUAGCUGGUCUUAGAGGAUGAUCAGCCACACUGGGACGGAGACACAGCCCAGACUCCUACGGGAGGCAGCAGUGGGGAAUCUUGGAAAAUGGGCGCAAGCCUGAUCGAGCCAUGCCGCGUGAGUGAAGAAGGUCUUCGGAUUGUAAAGCUCUUUUGCCAGGGACGAUAAUGACGGUACCUGGAGAAUAAGCCCCGGCAAACUUCGUGCCAGCAGCCGCAGUAAAAC
rnacentral:rRNA from 1 species